rnacentral:rRNA from 1 species
GACAGAGGGGGCAAGCGUUGCUCGGAAUCACUGGGCGUAAAGGGCGCGUAGGCGGGAUGGCAAGUCGGUCGUGAAAUCCUUCGGCUCAACCGAAGAACGUCGGCCGAUACUGCCGUUCUUGAGGACUGGAGAGGAGACUGGAAUUUACGGUGUAGCGGUGAAAUGCGUAGAUAUCGUAAGGAAGACCAGUGGCGAAGGCGGGUCUCGUGGA